UACAGAGGUCUCAAGCGUUGUUCGGAUUCAUUGGGCGUAAAGGGUGCGUAGGCGGCGCGGUAAGUCGGGUGUGAAAUCUUGGAGCUUAACUCCGAAACUGCAUUCGAUACUGCCGUGCUUGAGGACUGGAAAGGAGACUGGAAUUUACGGUGUAGCGGUGAAAUGCGUAGAUAUCGUAAGGAAGACCAGUGGCGAAGGCGGGUCUCUGGACAGUUCCUGACGCUGAGGCACGAAGGUCAGGGGAGCAAACGGGAUUAGAUACCCCGGUAGUCCUGACAGUAAACGGUGCACGUUUGGUGUGGGAGGAUUCGACCCCUUCUGCGCCGGAGCUAACGCGUUAAACGUGCCGCCUGGGGAGUACGGUCGCAAGAUUAAAACUCAAAGAAAUUGACGGGGGCCCGCACAAGCGGUGGAGUAUGUGCCUCAAUUCGAUGCAACGCGAAGAACCUUACCAGGCCUUGACAUGCAUCUCUAAGUUGGUGAAAGCCAGCGAGUCCCGAAAGGGACAAUUUGCACAGGUGCUGCAUGGCUGUCGUCAGCUCGUGUCGUGAGAUGUUGGGUUAAGUCCCGCAGCGAGCGCAACCCCUGUGAACUGUUGCCACCGGGCCGUGAGGCUCGAGCACUCUGUUCAGACUGCCCCGCUCUAACGGGGAGGAAGGCGGGGACGACGUCAAGUCAGUAUGGCCCUUACGGCCUGGGCUGCACACGUACUACAAUGCCCAGUACAAAACGAUCCAAGACCGCGAGGUGGAGGAAAUCACUAAAACUGGGCCCAGUUCAGAUUGAAGUCUGCAACUCGACUUCAUGAAGCCGGAAUCGCUAGUAAUGGCGUAUCAGCUACGACGCCGUGAAUACGUUCCCGGGCCU
rnacentral:rRNA from 1 species